GUAAGAGCAUUUACGAUUCUGAGGAUUGUUCUCUGCUCGUUGGUUUCCUCUUUAUAGAUCCUGUAAAGGACACGCUGGAGAUAAAAAAAUACAAAAAAAACCAGCAAAAAACAUUAUGAAAGGCUCUGACAGGAAAGAGGUUUCAUGCUUUAAACGUGCACCGUUUUACUGCUUUACCUUGUCGGUAGUUGAAACGGGAAACUCCUCUGUGGAGAAUCUGGUCGGUUCUGUUGUCAUUAUUUCAAAGUUGAUUAGUGUUCCAUCAACAUUAAACAAUUUCACUAUUGAAUACAUCAUUCAAAAAAAGCACUCGCACAUCUGAGAUAACUUGUUGCAGGUGCUAGUAUCACUUUAAUAAAAAGAAGUGAUAUCAGUGUGCAUUGAAUACAUGAAAUGAUAAGGCGUAUCAUACCUUUGUCCGUUGUGCUGCUUCCCUCAACUACAACAUGAUCUGGAGUCUGAUCUGUCUCUGCUUCACUCUGACUGUUAGCACCGUAGCCAAGGUCGUCUGAAACAUGCAGUAUAUUCUCCCUUUUGUACUGUAAAGGAUCGACCCUAAACUGUAUCUAAUGCUUGAAAAAAUGAUCUAAAGAAAACAUGAAUAAUAACUUGUAUAUCUACUUACAGGGCAGAAGCCUUCGGGACAGCAGGUACUCUUCGUCUGUAUCGCUGCAGGUCACCAACAACUAACUUUAACUUCCUUCAUACUGGACACAAACAUCACCGACAUUUGUAGUCUGUGGAUUGGGUGGGCUAUUUACAGAUGGACUAUGUACAGCUGCAGCGAUCGGUUAGCUGCUCAGAUAGCUGAUGUUUAAAGUUAGUGAGGGAAAUAUAAGUCUCCAGCUUCAGCAAUUUUUGCAAUUCGUUCCAGGCACUGGCAGCAGAGAACUGGAAGGAAAGGCGGCGUUGGCUUUGGGGAUGACCAGUGAGAUAUACCUGCUGGAGCGCGUGCUAGAGGUGGCCGACACACCCUGUUUUAGACACACCAGUCCGCCCACGGGGAAAAAGUCUGAAUGUGCUUCAGGUGUCGCCCAUCUUCCCAAUUAUCCCCUGUGUAUUUAUACCUGUGUUCUCUGUCUGUUUGUUGACAGUUCGUCUUGUUCGUUCAAGUUUACCAGCGUUUUCCCUGUCAGCUCCUAUCAUUUCCCAGCCUCUCUUUUCUUGUCCUCCUGCUUUUUGACCUUUGCCUGCCUUGAUCCUGUACCCGCCCGCCUGACCUCUCUGCCUGCCCCUGACCCUGAGCCUUCCUGCCGUCCUGUACCUUUGCCUUACCCUGGAUUAUCGACCCCUGCCUGCCUUGACCUGUCUUUGCCUGCCCCUGUU
rnacentral:lncRNA from 1 species